GCCGACGUAGCUCAAUCGGCAGAGCAGCCGAUUUGUAAUCGGCAGGUUACGAGUUCGACUCUCGUCGUCGGCU
rnacentral:tRNA from 1 species